rnacentral:rRNA from 1 species
CGGGUGAGUAACGCGUGGGUAACCUGCCCCAUACAGGGGGAUAACAGUUAGAAAUGACUGCUAAUACCGCAUAAGCGCACUGCAUCGCAUGAUGAAGUGUGAAAAACUGAGGUGGUAUGGGAUGGGCCCGCGUCUGAUUAGCCAGUUGGCGGGGUAACGGCCCACCAAAGCGACGAUCAGUAGCCGACCUGAGAGGGUGACCGGCCACAUUGGGACUGAGACACGGCCCAAACUCCUACGGGAGGCAGCAG